rfam:Candidatus Ryanbacteria bacterium RIFCSPHIGHO2_02_FTLL_45_13b rifcsphigho2_02_scaffold_1848, whole genome shotgun sequence.
GGGGGUAUAGUGAAACGGCUAUCACAACAGUCUCCAAAACUGUUAUUCUAGGUUCGAGUCCUAGUACCCCCG